GUUACUACGGCAACAGCGUCCCGGCAACGGCAGAAGGCAGAAGUAGAGUGGGGUGUUGUUAUCUUCGGUAACUGCUUCCCGCCUCCGCUGGGCGGCAGGUUUGGACUGAAAGCAACGGGUAAAAUGGCUUGGCAACAAUUUUUAGAAAAUCUCAGAGUUCCUGGAAGCACCUUUGAAAACAGGCAGGAAGAGUAAAUCCAACUAGAUGAGAUGAAGCUUUUCCCAGUGACACUGUUCUCCAGAAGCUAUGUGGAUACAUCCCAGAUGCUUAUCCCUCUUUAAAGCAGACAUUCCUUAUGCCUGAUGAAGUAAAAGCAAUUAUUUUUAGGUGUUGCCUUGGUUAACCACUCUCACAGCUAACCAUUUGUGUCUGUGUCAGCUUUAAAGCAUUCUAGUGAUCGCCAGUCUUUGUUUUGUUUUACAGUAGCUUGCAGUCUGCUGUUCAAAUUUCUUUAACAUAGCUAUGUGCAACCUGGGACUAAAUAAUCGGUAACAACCUCUCCGAUAAACAGAAAUUAUUGACCUCCUAGAAUUUCUCUGGAAGUCAUGUUGCCCAGUUUUUUAAUCAUCUCUGUGGCUCUCUGUAGUUUUUCUGUAUAUUUCAUGAAAUGUUAUGAUAGAAAUGAGAAUCGGUGCUUUCACAGAAGUUUUACUUGUACCAGAAAAGUAAAUAAAAUAACUUUUCAGAUACUG